UUUGAAUCUAUUAAUUCGUAAUGAUUCAUGAAUUGGGUUAUGUUGUGGAACGUCAUGAGUAUAUGGGAAGCUUUUCUCGAUUUCCUUGGAAGGGCUGAUUUCUUCUUCUAUUUUGCGUUUGAUUGAUUUUGGACAAGAGGCAGAAGAAGACCCUGAACAACUCUUAAGAAGAUGGUAUGGUAACUCCGUUGGUUCUCUCAUCUCUGUAGAUGUUGUCAAGCACGAGGGUUUGAGAACUCUUUGUGGCUCAAAAUGGGUUGGAUUGGGUUGA